UACGAAGGGUGCAAACGUUGCUCGGAAUUAUUGGGCGUAAAGCGCACGUAGGCGGCUUAGCAAGUUGGAUGUGAAAUCUCUGGGCUUAACCCAGAACGGCCAAGUGAAACUGUUGUGCUAGAGUGCAGAAGGGGCAAUCGGAAUUCUCGGUGUAGCGGUGAAAUGCGUAGAUAUCGAGAGGAACACCAGAGGUGAAGACGGGUUGCUGGGCUGACACUGACGCUGAGGCGCGAAAGCCAGGGGAGCAAACGGG
rnacentral:rRNA from 1 species